rnacentral:rRNA from 1 species
AUAACGACUCUCGGCAACGGAUAUCUCGGCUCUCGCAUCGAUGAAGAACGUAGCGAAAUGCGAUACUUGGUGUGAAUUGCAGAAUCCCGUGAACCAUCGAGUCUUUGAACGCAAGUUGCGCCCUAAGCCUUCUGGCCGAGGGCACGUCUGC